rnacentral:tRNA from 1 species
ACCUGGCUGGCUUACUGGAAAGAGCCUGUGGCUCUUGACCUCGGAGUCAUGAGUUCGAGCCCCAUGUUGGGUG